CUCUUUUUCUACUACAUGGCUUCCAAGGAUCAAACUUAGGUUGUCAGGCCUAGUGGUAAGUGCCUUUGCCCACUCUAUCCUGUCACUAGCCCCAGAUCUGAGUUAGGAGAUGGGUGGAAAUCCAUGGAGGAAGGAAGAAGAGAGGAAGCAGCCGUCCUUGCAUGUUUGGAAGUAGAUGGUUUGGAUUUUGUUGCCAAGUGUUGAGCAGUGGAACUGGCAUUCACCCUUUCAGAAGUGUUUGGGAUGCUGUGCUGCCGGGUACUUUGGUAUCUGACCCUCACCACAGUGGCUCCAGUUAUUUUCUGCACCGAUUUCAUUAGCUGGUGAUACACUUUCUCCUGAGUCUUCCUUAUAGUGGGAGGGCCUUGGGAGGCAUGUUAGCAUAUUCAGGACAUAAAAGGUAUCCAGCGUUUUAACCUCUCUUGAGGGGUAGGAACUUUCAAGUUCACGCAUUCCAGUCUUGGGUAAAGUGGGUCAGGAUUAUCCAUUUAUAUAUAUGACACCAUUCAGGCUAUGAGGCAGAGAAUCAGGUUGGUCCAGUCUUGCUUCUGAAGUUUGAGCAAGUAACUGAGAAGAUUCUUGGGAUACAAUUGAGGUUACUUUUGCAGUAUGGGGAGGAGAAACUUGAUUUUAUUCUUGUUAGUUAAACUUUUUUUUAAAAACAAGAUUCUCAAGACUGUGCAGUAACAUAGCUCAGAAAAUUACACCACUUACAGGCUGGGGGAGUAGCUCAGUUUGAGAAUAUUUUCCCACUGAAUACAAGCCCCUGGGUUCAAUCCCCAGCACUGAGAAAGAAAAGAAAAAAAUUAUAACACAGACGAAUGAACAUUCUUGUUUCAUAGGCAACAAAGUUCAAAUCAUCGGCUCUCAUAUUAGCUUUCUUCUAUAGUGAUGAUUUGAUUCCACCAGACAGAUACAUUGCAACAUUGGUGACUGAUGCUUUGACAAACUAACAUGGCCUGGAAGAACUAUACCCUAAGUGAAUAGCACUAAGUAGCUACUUUUAGCUAUUAGCUAGCCGUUUGCCGAAAGACAACUGCAGUUUACCCCGCCAAUGUAUUUCAACACCACUUUGCUUUGCUAGCAUGGAGGAGAUACGCAGAGUUGAUCUAGUGAGUGAGUAGGAGGUGAGUGGCCUUCAGUUCUUGUUUUCCUUACCUCCUACUGCUGGGAGUACCAUGGAAACUGGCACAGGCUAAUUGAUGAUAGGCCCCAAGAAGAGAGCAAUUAGGUCAGGCCAAAAAAAAAAUGGCAAAUAAGUAACUCCCAGCCGAUGAAGAAGCUAAGAAAGCCCACCUUCAAGGACUACUGUCCUUAGAGUAGAGACACUGUCUGAGGCAGGAUAUCUGUGCUUACGAUCCUAAGAGCAGCAGUAGGCUUCAUUCAUGAAGUCGAUGAUAGCUAUGCCAGGCUGUGUAGCUCGUGUUUGUCAAAACAUUUUGGAGUUGGGGAUAAAGCUCAGUUGGAGAAGUGCUGUCUUAGAGUACAUGGAACCCUGAGAUCAAUGCCCAACACAUCACCUGGACAUGGGAGUGCACGCCUAUAAUUUUAAUACUUGGGUGUUAAAGGCAACAAGAUCAGACCUUAAUUUCCAGGUAUUCAAUGAGCUCAGAGACCAACAUGGGCUAUGUGAGACUGCCCCAAACACAAAAUGAACCCAUCAAAGUCUGGAUAAAGAACUGUGAACGCACGUUUCUAUUCUAAUCUUUUUAGGUUGAGUAAUGGUCUUAGUAUUGUAGAGUCUUAUAUAGACUCUCAGAGACAGUGAGAAUAUAUGCAAGAUCUGCACAAGUUCAAACAAGAGAAAAUCCUACCAAGGAGAAAGGAAGUGGACACAAUGUCCUACCCCUAACCAUAAGGUUAUUUGCAAUUACUGAGAGAGGAAGAACCAUGUCCCAGGGCAGUUCACACGGUCAGGAUUAGUUGACCCACAGAAACGUACUCCAUGUUUGGUUUUUGUUGUGCUUCUGGCUUUGUUUUUAUAUUUGAGAGAGAGAAAGAAUACAAAGUGGAAUAUGGGAAGGAUUGUAGAGUAGUUGGGGGUAGAGAGAUGACCAAGCAUAUUGUAUAAAACAUUUAAAAAGUAAAUUUAAAAAAAAUUAGUGAUAAAAUUUUUUCUUUAGUUCUCCACGUAUGUACAUAGUCCCGCCUAUGACAUAGAGUUGCUGACAAGACACAUGAUGGAAUAAACUUCAGUUUUAUUUUGACAAAAGGCUAAUAGCUGAACACAGCUACUUAGUGCCCACUUAAAAUAUCAGUUCUUAUGAUGGAGGAUGUGAGUUGGUCAAAGCAUUAGCCAUCAAUUUCGUGAUGUAUCUGUUUGGUGGAAUCAAAUAGUCAUUAGUAUAAGAAAGAUUAUAUGAGUCUACAACUUGAAAUAAAGUCUCUUUCGGGGGAUUGAGAGGGCAGCUAAGACAGGGUCUUGCUUGCUAUGUAGUCCUGAUUGUCCUGGGCCUCUUGUUCCUGCCUCUGGAGAGCUAUGACCCCAAGCAUUCUGCCAGCACCAUGCUGGCUUAAAAUUCUAUGGACGCCAACACGUUUAAAGAAGUGUCUCUAUGCCUUAUGGAGAAAUUAUAAUUUAACACUCUGAUGUUCUUAACCUUGACCUUAAAAGCAGGCUGGAGUUAGUGCCAGGUCUAAGUCUUAAUUUCUGCCUUUGGUGUCCCUGGGUGACAUUUAACCUCUCUAACCCUGCAUGUCUUCAUCUGUAAACAGAGAUGGCGUGAGAAUUAAAUUAGGUGGUGGAUCUGAAUCUCUGUGUGUUGGGCAAGGCACAUACAAUAAAAUAUGCUCCAUAAAUGAGGAUUACAGUGGUACUAAUGUGCGUGCGAGCACUGACUUUAUUAGUUUUGGUUCCAUAGCUUAAACUUUAAGCCCUUGUUACUGUCUGUGAGUUUCGGGAUACAGCAUAAUAAAAUUUCUAAUAAGAAGAGAAGCAAUAACGUAAGACACAGUGCUUGUCUGUUUUCCUUCUACCUCUGUACAACAACACAGACACAAGUAGUAUUGGAAGAAAGGGUAAAAGUUGGGGGUAAUUAUUUGGAAGCGAGUCUGGGGUCAAAGUUUCAGCCUCCUGUGCAUCACCAUUCAGUGAUAAGACAAACUGCAUCCUACUCUUUUUCUUGGCUUCCUGAGAGCUCUCAUGGAGGCCUCCCAUCAUUACAUAGGUCUUACAGCUAAUCCACUGUGUAAGUUGGAUGCACAGUAUAUGGUGGCUGUGGAAGGCCCAGAGGUCAUGUGUUCAAACUCUCUCGUGGGAAAGUUUGAGGAAUGUUUGGUCAUUCCUACAAAGGGGGUUCUAACCUUUCAUGGGAGUUGUUGCAAGAUGGUUGGGGAUUCCUAAAUCUUCUCCAAUAUUCUAUCUGUAUUAAUUUCCCAGUGACAUCAUUUAAAAUUUAAAUCCAUUCUGUAACGUGAUGUGUUUAGUUUUAUAUUUCUAGUCUUCAUUUAUUUCCAUAAAUUUUCAUGUGAUUGCCCCAGAAUUUCUUGGGUUUACCCCAGUUUUCAGAUGAGGUGGCUUGCCUAAGCAGUGUGUGUAGGAUCUGGGGACAGAGGGUCAAUUACUUCCCUGGGAUGGAAAAGAAAAGGGUGUAGAAGAACUGAAAGGAUCCCAUUCCAACGAUUCAGCUCCUUUACCUGCAAAGCAUGUUUUGCAUAAGGGUGCUCAGCUCACAAUUGGCAUAAAAUUUAAUGAAGGCAACUGACCGUUCUGUGAAAGUCAUUAAAACCCCAACACCAUCGCUUUAACCAGAAGGUGGCCACCCUUCUAUUAUUUCUUUAUUACAAUUUUUCAUUUUUAUUUCCUCAAGUUAAACUGGAGGCUGGGUCAUCAUAUGCUGCCUGUUAAAGAUGUUAAAUCUGUGAUUUAUGCUUUGAAGAAGCCAUUCCUUUCUUUCAUGUUUUUUUUUCUAUAGAUGUUAGCCAGGUCUAUGGGUUCUGAUUCUAGAUCAGGAGAGGGA
rnacentral:sRNA from 1 species